rnacentral:rRNA from 1 species
CCCUUAGAUGUUCUGGGCCGCACGCGUGCUACACUGAGUGGAUCAGCGGGUCAGGUUGCGCGAAAGUGUUUCCUAAUCUUUAAAUCCGCUCGUGAUGGGGAUUGACGGUUGCAAUUUUCCGUCAUGAACGAGGAAUACCUUGUAAGCGCGGGUCAUCAUCCCGCGCUGAAUACGUCCCUGCCCUUUGUACACACCGCCCGUUGCUCCUACCGAUUGAGUGGUCCGGUGAGGCUUUGGGAUCUGAGCGGAAAGAGCGUUUCGCUGUUUCUGCCCGGAAAACUCAGUCGAACCUUAUCAUUUAGAGGAAGGAGAAGUCGUAACA